rnacentral:rRNA from 1 species
CAUCUCCUUUGGUAGAAAUGAGAAGUWAUACCUGCCCAAUGAUAAGUUUAAUGGCCGCGGUAUUUUGACUGUGCAAAGGUAGCAUAAUCAUUUGUCUUUUAAUUGGAGGCUGGAAUGAAUGGUUUGACGAAAUAAGGACUGUCUUUAAAUUAUUAUGUUAAAUUUAAUUUUUAAGUUAAAAAGCUUAGAUAUAGUUAAGGGACGAGAAGACCCUAUAGAGUUUAAUAGUUUUGUUAGUAUACCUUUAGGGAUAGAUUUUGUAUAGGUAUAGAGCAGGGCUAUUUGGUUGGGGUGAUGAUAAAUGAUAAGAAACUUUUAUGCAAUUAUUAACUUUAGUUAAAGGAAUAUAUUUAUGAUCUUGUAUUAUGGAUAAACAGAUAAAAUUACCUUAGGGAUAACAGCGUUAUUUUAUUUGAGAGUUCAUAUCGAAAAUGAAGUUUGCGACCUCGAUGUUC